rnacentral:rRNA from 1 species
UGGGGAAUAUUGGACAAUGGGGGCAACCCUGAUCCAGCCAUGCCGCGUGCGUGAAGAAGGCCUUAGGGUUGUAAAGCGCUUUCGGCGGGGAAGAUGAUGACGGUACCCGCAGAAGAAGCCCCGGCUAACUCCGUGCCAGCAGCCGCGGUAAUACGGAGGGGGCAAGCGUUGUUCGGAAUUACUGGGCGUAAAGAGCGCGUAGGCGGCUGUAUCAGUCAGGCGUGAAAGCCCCGGGCUCAACCUGGGAGGUGCGCUUGAUACUGUGCAGCUGGAGUCCGGGAGGGGAUGGCGGAAUUCCCAGUGUAGAGGUGAAAUUCGUAGAUAUUGGGAAGAACACCGGUGGCGAAGGCGGCCAUCUGGACCGGCACUGACGCUGAGGCGCGAAAGCGUGGGGAGCAAACAGGAUUAGAUACCCCCGUAGUCC